rnacentral:lncRNA from 1 species
CAGGAAUCUGUUUUUAUUGCUGGAUGCUAGAAUCAGGAGAUGCUAAGAUUUAUUUGCAGAAAUGAUAUGUUUCCACUGUGCUGAUAGAAGUCUGGACCUUUUUUUCUCAAGGUCUCUUUUAGGCUCCUUCCAACUGCUACUACUUUCUUCCUCAGGGAGUCACUGCCCAACCUUGGUAUUGUAGGGUGACCAAGAGGACUACAGCGAGGCGCUCAUCAUUUUCCUGGGCCUGCCCUUGGGGGCUGGAGGUAACCUUAGAUAGCAUGAGAUCCCCCUUGUCCUCAAUUAGACUGCCUCUUGUUCCUCAUCCUGAUGUUCAGGGAGAUGGUCAGCAGAUGGUGCUAACUUACCACCCUUCCCUCUGAAUCCUUUGGGGGCAUUCUUAAAAUUAAUCCAGUGGAACUUUCAGUGUAUCAAAUCUUGAAGACAGUGCUAGGGAAUUCUUGUUUGUAUUUACUAAAGGGCACAGACGUCAGGAGUAGAAGGACUGGUGUGUGAAUCCCAGCUGAGUUCCUUAACAGCCAUGUGACCUCUGGGACAGGGUCUGUAACACACAACAGAGAUCUGGUGUCUGGAAAAGUUGAACAUCUUUAGAAGAGCAUAAAGAAAAAAGUAAAAGCCCAUUUCUGAGUGAGGCCGGCCAGCCCAGCUGGAGAAGGCAACAGGCUGUUGGGAGAGCCAAAGGACCACUUGGCCAGCUUGUCAGACCCUGGGCCAAGCCAUUGUAUAAGCUCCAAAGUAUUGGAAAGAAGGAAAGAAAAAAAUCGGGACGUGUUUUUAGUCUUGCUCAGGAGCCCAGAACAUGCUCACAACUCCAGGAAUCUGCUCUUUUCUGCAAACGGAAAAUGUGAUCCAUGAGAACAAAUUUGACUGCUGGAGUGUGUGCCUAUGUUGCCCUGCCCUGUAACUUAGGGGGCGAGGACUUACACCACCUGUGACUGCUUUCCAGAGUCCCCUGUACUCCUCUGAGAAGCUGGCUCACUUUAAUAGUUAAGACAGGACAGUGGCCUCAGAAUCGAAAUACAGAGUAUGCAUUUAUUGACAUCUGCCCUGGGCUACACUGGGUUUCUAGCAAGAACAGAAGCGAAUGCAAAGGGAAAUGUACAAAUACAGUUAGCAACCUGGUGUAAUUGUGGAUACCAGGAGAUGUUCUUUCCAGACUUGGUAGAGGAACUAUGAUCACCCUAUAUUUAAUAGCUUAACUUUGAAUGUGCACUAGAAUUCCAAAUUUAGCAAAGAAAUAAAUAAGUUAUUUACAUUUCAAGUAAAAGUAUUGUGUUUUAUUUCUUUAUUUCACCACCAUUUAUAUGUAUGAACUAUGAUCAAGGCUUGCCUAUGUCCUGUGGAGCAAGGCCAAGAAAUAUGCUUUAUAUUGGUUAUUUGAUCUUCAGCAUCAGAUUAUCACUAUUGCAGAGGUGGGCAAAACCAUGCAAAAAGAAGAGGAAGUAUAUUUGCAUUAAUGGCAUUAAAUGAAGUACAGUUGAAGCUGCAGAGUUUUACCAGUGGCCAAUUUCUUGUGUUUCAUUUAAAGAACAGUUUCACAAAGGGGCUUUAUUGUGCCAUUGUGGGGGCCACGUGCCAAUCAGUAGCAUGGGACAAAGUAAGUAAAGGCAUGAAGAAACAAACAAGCAAAUUCACGAAAACAGAAGUGCUUAAAUUAACCAAGUGACAGUUUGUGCAUCAGUCU